GAUUACAUAUCGAUCCUCGACGCUACUGGCAUGGAAGCAAAACAUCAUGAAAACAGGAAACCUAUGGAGAAAUGGGCAGCGGAUAUGAUCGGAUAAGCAUUGGCAUUUUCCACCAAACAAGAAAACUGGACUGUGUACCGUUGAUCAACAAUCCUACAGCUUCUUUUCCACUGACCAUGAGUUUUCUCACAUCUUUCAUUCCCACUUCACUGCUUUGUCUUAGGCCUUUAGCAUUUUGAAGGGGGAAUAGACAAGUGCAGUUACCGUAGUAGUGCCAUAGAGGGUAAGAAAUUUAGGGGCAGGGAUGCGUGGUUAGGAGUGGAUGAAUCCGGGAGACCAAAACGCUACAGCAGAUGUAUGUUGAAGAUAUUGAGCAUGACACAAGAGCAA